UGUUGUACAAACUCCAGGUCCACGUGUUUUGAAUAUUCUUAUUUUCAUCUCUUUGUGUUGCAUUAUUGGGACAAU
rnacentral:ribozyme from 1 species